AUACGUAGGGGGCAAGCGUUAUCCGGAUUUACUGGGUGUAAAGGGAGCGUAGACGGAAUGGCAAGUCUGAUGUGAAAGGCCGGGGCUCAACCCCGGGACUGCAUUGGAAACUGUCAGGCUAGAGUGCAGGAGGGGUAAGCGGAAUUCCUAGUGUAGCGGUGAAAUGCGUAGAUAUUAGGAGGAACACCGGUGGCGAAGGCGGCUUACUGGACUGUAACUGACGUUGAGUCUCGAAAGCGUGUGGAGCAAACAGGAUUGGAUACCGUGGUAGACCACGCCGUAAACGAUGAAUACUAGGUGUUGGGUUCCAAUAGGGAUUCGGUGCCGCAGCUAACGCAAUAAGUAUUCCACCUGGGGAGUACGUUCGCAAGAAUGAAACUCAAAUGAAUUGACGGGG
rnacentral:rRNA from 1 species